GCCCCCGUAGCUCAAUGGACAGAGCACCUGACUUCGAAUCAGUAGGUUGAGAGUUCGAAUCUCUCCGAGGGCGCC
rnacentral:tRNA from 1 species